rnacentral:misc_RNA from 1 species
CAGGACUCGCAAGACUCCCGUAAACCACUGUGAACUUACCUACAACCCGUUGCCUCGGCGGGUGCUCCGGGCGCGUCUUCGGGCGCUCCGGGGCGCUCCAGCCCGCCGACGGCCCCUAAACUCUGUCUCUGUAACGUUGGCAUCUCCGAGCAGACUAUAAACGAGUCA